rnacentral:rRNA from 1 species
AGCAGCCGCGGUAAUUCCAGCUCCAAUAGCGUAUAUUAAAGUUGUUGCAGUUAAAAAGCUCGUAGUUGAAUUUCGGGGUCAAUACGUCGGUCGUGCUUCGGUACGCACUGACGAUAUUGGCCCUCCCUUCUGACGAACCGUGAUGUCAUUAAUUUGGUGUUGCGGGGAAUCAGGACUGUUACCUUGAAAAAAUUAGAGUGUUUAAAGCAGGCAAUCGCUCGAAUACAUUAGCAUGGAAUAAUGAAAUAGGACGUUCGAACCUAUUUUGUUGGUUUCUAGGAUCGACGUAAUGAUUAAUAGGGAUAGUUGGGGGCAUUAGUAUUCAAUUGUCAGAGGUGAAAUUCUUGGAUUUAUUGAAGACUAACUACUGCGAAAGCAUUUGCCAAGGAUGUUUUCAUUAAUCAAGAACGAAAGUUAGGGGAUCGAAGACGAUCAGAUACCGUCGUAGUCUUAACCAUAAACUAUGCCGACUAGGGAUCGGAUGAUGUUAAUUUUUAAUGACUCAUUCGGCGCCUUACGG